rnacentral:rRNA from 1 species
UACGUCCGAUUAGCUGGUUGGUGGGGUAACGGCCCACCAAGGCGACGAUCGGUAGCGGGUCUGAGAGGACGACCCGCCACACUGGGACUGAGACACGGCCCAGACUCCUACGGGAGGCAGCAGUGGGGAAUAUUGGACAAUGGGCGCAAGCCUGAUCCAGCAAUGCCGCGUGGGUGAAGACGGCCUGCGGGUUGUAAAGCCCUUUAGGCGGGGAGGAACGACGGGACGCUAAUAUCGUUUCGAAGUGACGUUACCCGCGGAAUAAGCACCGGCUAACUCCGUGCCAGCAGCCGCGGUAAUACGGAGGGUGCGAGCGUUAAUCGGAAUUACUGGGCGUAAAGCGUGCGUAGGCGGAUGGGUCAGUCAGCCGUGAAAGCCCCGGGCUUAACCUGGGAACGGCGGUUGAGACGGCUCGUCUGGAGUGGGCUAGAGGAUCGUGGAAUUCCGGGUGUAGCGGUGAAAUGCGUAGAGAUCCGGAGGAACACCGAUGGCGAAGGCAGCGGUCUGGGGCCACACUGACGCUGAGGCACGACGGCGUGGGGAGC